rnacentral:rRNA from 1 species
GCCUGCGGAAGGAUCAUUACCGAGUGCGGGUCCUUUGGGCCCAACCUCCCAUCCGUGUCUAUUGUACCCUGUUGCUUCGGCGGGCCCGCCGCUUGUCGGCCGCCGGGGGGGCGCCUCUGCCCCCCGGGCCCGUGCCCGCCGGAGACCCCAACACGAACACUGUCUGAAAGCGUGCAGUCUGAGUUGAUUGAAUGCAAUCAGUUAAAACUUUCAACAAUGGAUCUCUUGGUUCCGGCAUCGAUGAAGAACGCAGCGAAAUGCGAUAACUAAUGUGAAUUGCAGAAUUCAGUGAAUCAUCGAGUCUUUGAACGCACAUUGCGCCCCCUGGUAUUCCGGGGGGCAUGCCUGUCCGAGCGUCAUUGCUGCCCUCAAGCCCGGCUUGUGUGUUGGGUCGCCGUCCCCCUCUCCGGGGGGACGGGCCCGAAAGGCAGCGGCGGCACCGCGUCCGAUCCUCGAGCGUAUGGGGCUUUGUCACAUGCUCUGUAGGAUUGGCCGGCGCCUGCCGACGUUUUCCAACCAUUCUUUCCAGGUUGACCUCGGAUCAGGUAGGGAUACCCGCUGAACUUAAGCAUAUCAAA